rnacentral:rRNA from 1 species
UACAGAGGUCUCAAGCGUUGUUCGGAUUCAUUGGGCGUAAAGGGUGCGUAGGCGGCGCGGUAAGUCGGGUGUGAAAUCUCGGAGCUUAACUCCGAAACUGCAUUCGAUACUGCCGUGCUUGAGGACUGGAGAGGAGACUGGAAUUUACGGUGUAGCGGUGAAAUGCGUAGAUAUCGUAAGGAACACCAGUGGCGAAGGCGGGUCUCUGGACAGUUCCUGACGCUGAGGCACGAA